AUGAACGCUAGCUACAGGCUUAACACAUGCAAGUCGAGGGGCAGCAUGGUCUUAGCUUGCUAAGGCCGAUGGCGACCGGCGCACGGGUGAGUAACACGUAUCCAACCUGCCGUCUACUCUUGGACAGCCUUCUGAAAGGAAGAUUAAUACAAGAUGGCAUCAUGAGUCCGCAUGUUCACAUGAUUAAAGGUAUUCCGGUAGACGAUGGGGAUGCGUUCCAUUAGAUAGUAGGCGGGGUAACGGCCCACCUAGUCUUCGAUGGAUAGGGGUUCUGAGAGGAAGGUCCCCCACAUUGGAACUGAGACACGGUCCAAACUCCUACGGGAGGCAGCAGUGAGGAAUAUUGGUCAAUGGGCGAGAGCCUGAACCAGCCAAGUAGCGUGAAGGAUGACUGCCCUAUGGGUUGUAAACUUCUUUUAUAAAGGAAUAAAGUCGGGUAUGGAUACCCGUUUGCAUGUACUUUAUGAAUAAGGAUCGGCUAACUCCGUGCCAGCAGCCGCGGUAAUACGGAGGAUCCGAGCGUUAUCCGGAUUUAUUGGGUUUAAAGGGAGCGUAGAUGGAUGUUUAAGUCAGUUGUGAAAGUUUGCGGCUCAACCGUAAAAUUGCAGUUGAUACUGGAUGUCUUGAGUGCAGUUGAGGCAGGCGGAAUUCGUGGUGUAGCGGUGAAAUGCUUAGAUAUCACGAAGAACUCCGAUUGCGAAGGCAGCCUGCUAAGCUGCAACUGACAUUGAGGCUCGAAAGUGUGGGUAUCAAACAGGAUUAGAUACCCUGGUAGUCCACACGGUAAACGAUGAAUACUCGCUGUUUGCGAUAUACUGCAAGCGGCCAAGCGAAAGCGUUAAGUAUUCCACCUGGGGAGUACGCCGGCAACGGUGAAACUCAAAGGAAUUGACGGGGGCCCGCACAAGCGGAGGAACAUGUGGUUUAAUUCGAUGAUACGCGAGGAACCUUACCCGGGCUUAAAUUGCAGAUGAAUUACGGUGAAAGCCGUAAGCCGCAAGGCAUCUGUGAAGGUGCUGCAUGGUUGUCGUCAGCUCGUGCCGUGAGGUGUCGGCUUAAGUGCCAUAACGAGCGCAACCCUUGUUGUCAGUUACUAACAGGUUCCGCUGAGGACUCUGACAAGACUGCCAUCGUAAGAUGUGAGGAAGGUGGGGAUGACGUCAAAUCAGCACGGCCCUUACGUCCGGGGCUACACACGUGUUACAAUGGGGGGUACAGAGGGCCGCUACCACGCGAGUGGAUGCCAAUCCCCAAAACCUCUCUCAGUUCGGACUGGAGUCUGCAACCCGACUCCACGAAGCUGGAUUCGCUAGUAAUCGCGCAUCAGCCACGGCGCGGUGAAUACGUUCCCGGGCCUUGUACACACCGCCCGUCAAGCCAUGGGAGCCGGGGGUACCUGAAGUGCGUAACCGCGAGGAGCGCCCUAGGGUAAAACUGGUGACUGGGGCU
rnacentral:rRNA from 1 species